rnacentral:rRNA from 1 species
UACGUAAGUUGCGAGCGUUAUUCGGAAUUACUUGGGUGUAAAGGAAGCGCAGGCGGGAAGUCAAGUCAGCGGUGAAAUGUAUGGGCUUAACCCAUGAACUGCCGUUGAAACUGAUUUUCUUGAGUGAGGUAGAGGUCAGCGGAAUUUCCAGUGUAGCAGUGAAAUGCGCAGAGAUUGGAAAGAACAUCAGUGGCGAAGGCGGCUGACUGGGCCUUAACUGACGCUGAGGCUUGAAAGUGUGGGUAGCAAA